rnacentral:lncRNA from 1 species
GAGACAUUGCUGGUUUUUUUCGUUUCCAAUUCUUACUAUUUUUCACCACUUAUUCGUUUGUGAAUUCUACAUUUCCAAGUACAGCUGGAGAAUGUAAUUGUUUUCUGGCCUGCCACUGGCUACUUUUCCACUGACUUUAUCUCGCUACCUCGAUGAGUUUGCGUUAGCCUCAUGGGUGCCCUUUGUCCGGGGCUCCUUUUGCCUACCUUGAUGCCUUGGGCUCCCAGGCUAACCCUUCUUUCUCUACAUCAGUGUAAC